CCUACGGGUGGCAGCAGUGGGGAAUAUUGCGCAAUGGGCGAAAGCCUGACGCAGCGACGCCGCGUGAGGGAUGAAGGUCUUCGGAUCGUAAACCACUGUCAGCAGGGAGGAACGGACAAAGUGCUAAACAGCAGUGAAUUGACGGUACCUGCAAAGGAAGCACCGGCUAACUCCGUGCCAGCAGCCGCGGUAAUACGGAGGGUGCGAGCGUUAAUCGGAAUUACUGGGCGUAAAGCGCUCGCAGGCGGUAUGUCAAGUCAAGGGUGAAAUCCCCGGGCUCAACGUGGGAACUGCCUUUGAAACUGGCAAACUGGAGUGUUGGAGAGGAUAGUGGAAUUCCAGGUGUAGGAGUGAAAUCCGUAGAGAUCUGGAGGAAUAUCAGUGGCGAAGGCGACUAUCUGGCACAAAACUGACGCUGAGGUGCGAAAGCGUGGGGAGCAAACAGGAUUAGAUACCCUUGUAGUC
rnacentral:rRNA from 1 species